GAUGAACGCUGGCGGCGUGCCUAAUACAUGCAAGUCGAGCGAACAGACGAGGAGCUUGCUCCUCUGACGUUAGCGGCGGACGGGUGAGUAACACGUGGAUAACCUACCUAUAAGACUGGGAUAACUUCGGGAAACCGGAGCUAAUACCGGAUAAUAUAUUGAACCGCAUGGUUCAAUAGUGAAAGACGGUUUUGCUGUCACUUAUAGAUGGAUCCGCGCCGCAUUAGCUAGUUGGUAAGGUAACGGCUUACCAAGGCAACGAUGCGUACCCGACCUGAGAGGGUGAUCGGCCCCACUGGAACUGAGACACGGUCCAGACUCCUACGGGAGGCAGCAGUAGGGAAUCUUCCGCAAUGGGCGAAAGCUUGACGGAGCAACGCCGCGUGAGUGAUGAAGGUCUUCGGAUCGUAAAACUCUGUUAUUAGGGAAGAACAAAUGUGUAAGUAACUAUGCACGUCUUGACGGUACCUAAUCAGAAAGCCACGGCUAACUACGUG
rnacentral:rRNA from 1 species